rnacentral:rRNA from 1 species
UUCUGGCUCAGGAUGAACGCUAGCGACAGGCCAACACAUGCAAGUCGAGGGGCAGCACAAGGAGUAAUCUGAGGUGGCGACCGGCGCACGGGUGAGUAACACGUAUGCAACCUGGCUGUAAGAGGGGAAUAACCCGGAGAAAUCCGGACUAAUACCGCAUAAUACGUUAGAAUCCGCAUGGAUUUUAAGUUAAACAUUUAUGGCUUACAGAUGGGCAUGCGUAUGAUUAGCUGGUUGGAGAGGUAACGGCUCCCCAAGGCAACGAUCAUUAGGGGUUCUGAGAGGAAGGUCCCCCACACUGGUACUGAGACACGGACCAGACUCCUACGGGAGGCAGCAGUGAGGAAUAUUGGUCAAUGGACGCAAGUCUGAACCAGCCCAAGUCGCGUGAAGGAAGAAUGUCCUAUGGAUUGUAAACUUCUUUGAAGGGAAUAAAGUACGGUACGUGUACCGUUUUGUAUGUACCCUUCGAAUAAGGAUCGGCUAACUCCGUGCCAGCCGCUGC